rnacentral:rRNA from 1 species
UUCCGAUCUGGCUCAGAUUGAACGCUGGCCGGAUCGCUUUUACACGCGUACCAAGUCGAACGGCAGCACAGACUUCUGAUCAUGAUGACGAGUGGCGAACGGGUGAGUAAUGUAUCGGAACGUGCCUAUAGUAGCGGGGGGAUAACACCGCGAAGAGCGCGGCUAACCGCACCGCCACGCCAUCUCAGAAAGCGGGGACAGCCGGGCUCUGCGCUAUUAAACGGCCGAUAUCGGAUUAGCUGAAUUGGUGGGGUAACGGCUUGCGCCGGGCGAUCGUAGCUGGUUUUGAGAGGACGACCAGCCGCGCGCUGGGACAGGAACCGGCCCAAGGGCCUCCUACGGGAGGCAAACGCAGUGGGAAUUUUGGACAAUGGGGCGCCACUGUGAUCAGCCAUCCGCGGCGUGUGCCGAUAAGGCGGCGCUGGUUCUAUCCGCUGCAGCGGGGCGGCCUGGAUAAUACGUGCAACUGACGGUACCUGCAGAAUAAGCACCGGCUAACUAAGUGCCGCUGACGCUGGUAAGCCGUAGGGUGCAAGCGUUAAUCGGAAUUGCCGGGCGUAAAGCGUGCGCAGGCGGUUCAGAGAAGAAGAUAAUGAAAUCUGGGGCUUAACUUUGGAACUGCAUUUUUAACUACUGACUAGAGUGUGUCCAGAGGGAGGUGGAAUUCACGCGUCGCAAUAGCGGUGAUGCGUGGUAUGCGGAGGAACACCUGGUAGCGAAGGCGACUCUGGAUAUUUCUGACGCUCAUGCAAAAGCGUGGGGAGCAAACAGGAUUAGAUACCCUGUUAGUCCACGCGCCCUAAACGAUGUCAACUAGCUGUUGGGGCCUUCGGCCUUUCCAGUACGGCGCAACUAACGUGAUUGACCAUGCCGGAACAGUCGCCAAUUACAAACUCAAAGAUUGACGGGGAUUCCACAAGCGAAAUUGGAUGAUGUGGACCAAUUCGAUGCAACGCGAAAAACCUUACCUACCCUUGACAUGGAAUCCCGAAGAAGAUUUGAAUUAACGCGAAGAACCGAGACACAGGUGCUGCAUGGCUGUCGUCAGCUCGUGUCGUGAGAUGUUGGGUUAAGUCCGCAACGAGCGCAGCCAUACAGUAUUCAGAUUUGCUUUGAAAGGGCACUCCUGGCCGAUUUGCCGGUGACAAACCGGAGGAAGGUGGGGGAUGACGUCCGAGUCCUCGCCGUUGCCUAUGGUGGGGCUUCACGUCGCGAUGGUGUGGGACAGAGAGGUCGCCAACCCGCGAGGGGGCCAAUCCCAGAAACCCCGAUCUGUAGUCCGGAUCGCAGUCUGCAACUCGACUGCGUGAAGUCAGAGUCGCUGGCCAAUCGCGGAUCAGCAUGUCGCGGUGAAUACGUUCCCGGGUCAACAUACCUGCCCGUCACCCUGUGGGAGUGGGUUUUACCAGAGUAGUUAGCCGCAACCGUAAGGGCGAUUACCACGAUGAAGUUCAUGACUGGGGUGGGCAGUCAAUGGCUAAAGGUAA